GCCCCUGUUGUCUAAUGGUUAUGACGUCAGACUUCUAGCUUACGUAACGGAUCUGGAGGUUGCGGGUUCGAAUCCCGCCAGGGGUU
rnacentral:tRNA from 1 species